AGAGUUUGAUCCUGGCUCAGAACGAACGCUGGCGGCGUGGCUAAGACAUGCAAGUCGAACGAACUAUUCUACAGAGUAAUCUAAGGAAUAGUUAGUGGCGUAAGGGUGAGUAACGGAUAGGUAACGUACCUUGUGCUUCGGGAUAGCGUCGUUCGCCUUCGGGCGAACUUCCGAAAGGGGCGGUAAUACCGGAUAAUAUCACUUGUUGAUAGACGAGUGAUCAAAGAUUUAUCGGCACUCGAGCGGCCUGUCUCCUAUCAGCUUGUUGGUGAGGUAAUAGCUCACCAAGGCUAUGACGGGUAGCGGGACUGAGAGGUUGGCCCGCCACAUCGGGACUGAGACACUGCCCGGACCUCCACGGAGGGCUGCAGUAACGAAUCUUGUGCAAUGGGCGAAAGCCUGACACAGCGACGCCGCGUGUAGGAGGAAGUCCUUCGGGAUGUAAACCGCUGUCAGGGGUAAGAAAGUCCGCUUCGGCGGAUUGAUCUAACCCAAAGGAAGUCACGGCUAACUUCGUGCCAGCAGCCGCGGUAAGACGAAGGUGGCGAGCGUUGUUCGGUGUUACUGGGCUUAAAGCGUGUGUAGGCGGGUUGGUUAGCGUCUUGUGAAAUCCCUCGGCUUAACCGAGGAAUGGCUAGGCGAACUGCCAACCUUGAGGCAGGCAGGGGCGCAUGGAACUCUUGGUGGAGCGGUGGAAUGCGUAGAUAUCAAGAGGAACGCCGAUGGGGAAAUCAGUGCGCUGGGCCUGUCCUGACGCUGAUACACGAAAGCGUGGGGAGCGAACGGGAUUAGAUACCCCGGUAGUCCACGCUGUAAACGAUGUCUACUAGGUCGUGGAGGUUCUGACACCUGCACGGCCUAAGCAAAAGUGUUAAGUAGACCGCCUGGGGAGUACGGUCGCAAGGCUAAAACUCAAAGGAAUUGACGGGGGCUCACACAAGCGGUGGAGCAUGUGGAUCAAUUCGAAGCAACGCGCAGAACCUACCUGGGUUUGACAUGCUUGAUGCUAUCCUGGAAACAGAGAUGCUGCCUUCGGUGAAACUUGCACAAGGUGCUGCAUGCUGUCGUCAGCUCGUGUCGGGAGAAUUCGGGUUAGUCUUUAACGAGCGAAACCCUUGCCGUUAGUGCAGCGGUCAUGCGGGAACUCUACGGACUGGCGGGUACGGAGAAGGUGGACGACUCAGUCAUAUGGCCUUAGCAGGCCUCACGGUCUCUAAUGGCGCCACAAAGCG
rnacentral:rRNA from 1 species